rnacentral:other from 1 species
ACAUCUCUAGGGUGUACGUAAGCUACCUGUAAUAUCCCUUGAGCCUUAAAUACUGACUUUGGGAAUUGGACUGUUGAGGCCGUGUGCAUUACCGUUUCGACGGGAAGCCUAACGCAGCAUCGCUGGUUCCCCCCUGAACUUACCGGUUCAAGGUCAACAGUAUUUGCUACGGCACUCCGGAGAUGUC